GGCUGGAUAGCUCAGUUGGUAGAGCACUGGAGCGGAAAUCCGGAGGUUGCAGGUUCAAACCCUGCUCCAGUCA
rnacentral:tRNA from 1 species